UGUCUCGACUGUCAAGAAUUACAGAUAUUUGUAAACAUCGAAAUGAUUGGCUGCUUAAUUGUGGAAAUUUCAAUGGGAAGAAAAAAAUUUCACCUAAAAUGUGGGAGAAUGUGAAUGUGCAAAGUGAAUGCGGUGAAUGUCUUUUUUUUUUUUUAGUGUAGGUUUUGUUCGACGGUUGGUAUAUAGCGGUUUCUAGCUGUUGUGGAAUGGUAUGCAUUGCAUGGAAAACUCAUUCUUAUUUCACUAAUUGGCAGCUUUUUUUAGCAAUGCAAAUAUCAAACUCAAAGUGAUUGGCCAAAGCCAUCAUGGAGUAAUAGAUAAUUAUCUAUUACUCUGCCAAAGCACUACUUCUUCUCAUCAUUUACUUCCAAAAUAUAAUUAAUGGUUUACAAAGUGAACUGUUUUUUAAGUUUCUCUGUCAAAGCUUCGAGUCUCGAUUGUCAUGCUAGCUGCCUGCUACUAGUCGAUUAUCGAGCUCUGCGCAACUGUGCGCUGUCAACUUGUAGAAUUAAAAAUUUUUGUAAACAGGGUAAGCUACUAAUUCGAAAAUAAGCGACAAGAACAAAAUGUCUCUUAAAAUGUGGGAAAGUUAACAGCAGGCUUGCGCGGAUGUUUGUAUGAUGUUUGAUACAAAUGUUGAUAAAAACAAAAAUUUGAAAAUAGCUUGUGAAUCAAUAGUUUAAUCAUGUUUCCUUAUUAAACCAAAAUCAUAACAAAAUUAAAGAAAUAUUAGGUUUCCCCCGGUGCGGGUGGUUCGAUGUCGCCAUGAAACGCUGAUUCCAUGGGCUCAGGAGAUCCCUACAAAUUAAUUCAAUCUGAAUCCUGAUGUUAAAUUUCCAAUUUUUUUAAGAGAUCACUAACCAUUUCUUUAUCUUUUGAAUCCUCGUUAUUUAGGUCUUCGGCUUCGGCUUGAAAUUGAGCAAUUCCGUUGAGGACAUCCAUCGUAAGCUUAGGAAUGUGCAUUCGCUAUGAAUAUAAAUUUGCAUCAU